AGAGACCUGGACCAAGAGGGGCAUCUGGGCCCCCAGGACCUCAUGGUCCCCCGGGGAAGGAUGGCACUGACGGGAAAACUGGCCCUGCUGGACUCUCCGGAAAAGCUGGUCCUAAGGGGAAAGCAGGUUUGCCGGGUGGACCUGGGAAGCCGGGACUCCCUGGACUGCCAGGGGUAGAUGGUUUGACCGGCCCUGAUGGCCCCUCGGGGAAGGACGGCCCCCAAGGAGACGCGGUAAGUGACACUCGGGGUACACACCC